rnacentral:lncRNA from 1 species
CUACUUGUUAGACUGGAGCUGAGGCCUAAGCCACGCCCUCAGCCAGCCCCUCACUGAGGUUUCUAGGGGUGGGGGUGCCUGGCUCUACGGCUUAGCCCUGUAGCCAGCCCCUCACGGGGUUUCUAGGCGGGGCUGCACCUCUGAGCCACACCUCCAGCCCCUCACUGGGAGAAUCUUGGCGUGUACGGCUGCAUACCGUGUGCAUGUACCGUGGCGUCUCCAGAAGAAGGUUUGCGAUCCCCUGGAACUGGAGUUACAGACAGUUGUGAACUUUCCUGUGGGUGCUGAGAACCAAACCAGGGAACGAGGUGGGAAGAAGUGAUUCCUGUCACCUACAGGCCCGGCUGGAACCCAACAUCCCAGCACCACAAAUCCCUCAACUUCCCCCUUCCCUUUGACAUCCCAACCCCUCUGCCCAGUCCCCCAACCCCCCAUGCCCCCACACCCCCACCCUGUCUCAGCACAGCAAUGGCUCUGCUUGUUGGAUGAUGGAAGAAAUUCCAGCAAGUCCAAGCAACUCAAGGUGCAUGUUGCUGACUCGAGGGCUGGAAAAACCUGCUGGGGAUGUUUGUGGCCCAGUUUUCUGAGUCUGGAGGUCUGGAUGUGACCUCCCAUUUGUCAUUGCUCUGGUGGCUCCUUAGGCAUCUUCUGCCUUGAAGAGUUACAGGAUCGGGAAAGACGAAGCAGGGAGCCUGCUCCCUGCGUUUGUGGUUUUCUUUUUGGACAGGGUUUCAUGUGGUGUGGGCUGGCUCACGGACAUGCAGCCUGUCUGCUCUUCCUGCCUCUGUCUCCCUGGGCUAGAGAGUGAAACCUUGUCUCAGGACCAGAAGUCUCAUCACUGCAAAGAAGCUGAAAGAGCUUUUUCCUGUAUGUAUGGCUGUGUACCAUGUGAAUGCCUGGUGUCUUUGGUGGCCAGAGGAAGGUGUUGAAUCCCCCUGGAACUGGAGUUACAGACAGUUGUGAAUUACCAUGUGAGUUCUGGGAAUCAAAGUGAGUUCCCCGGAAGGACAGUCAAUUAAUUGUUCUUAACCCAUGAGCCAUUUCUUCAGCCCCUGUUUUUUAAUUUAUUUUUAUUCAUAUUGUUAUUUAUAUAUUUAUUUAUGGUUUUUUGAGACAGGGUUUCUCUGUAGCUCUGUCUGUCCUGGAACUCACUUUGAAGAUCAGGCUGGCCUUGAACUCACAGAGAUUCACUUGCCUCUGCCUCCUGAGGGCUGGGAAUGACUCUCUCUCUCUUGAGACUGGAAGUAAUGUACUCCAGGCUGGCCUUAAACUCAUGACAAUCCUCCUGCCUCAGCCUCAUGAGUACUGAGAUGAAGGUUAUGCACUACCAUUUCCAGCUUGAAGGACAAAAUGCUGAAACCCAGCUUAGCCAGGCUCUGACCUCCUGUUGUGGACAGCUCACUGCAGUGCCAUUUACCACAAACUGCCCAGAAAUUACCUUGGAUGAUGGGGGUGGGGUUCCUGACCCAAGAAUGUCACACUGCUGGGGAUAGGAAAGAAACCUUGUCCAGUAUUCUGUAACAAGUCUGGUGAGGUUGCCAACCACAAUGGAUAGCACAUAGAUGGCAACUUCCUGGCAGGAAAAGGACUUGGGGACUUGCAAUUAUGGGUUUCAUGCCAGACUAGUAGAUUUCCUCACAAAGGCUAAAUAUGGCCCAGGGGCUGAACCUUCCAGAAUCAUCCUAGCCAUGUGGUCACUACAGUCUGUCUAAUCUCAGCUCUGAUGCUGCUGUGUCAGAGGAUAUCUGGCAAUAGCUGCCUUUUCUUUGGGGGACGCAGCUGGGUUGUCCUUUGUCAUCUACUUGGAGAAGUUGAUUCGGUGGCUAGCGGACAGUCCCCACAGAUGACUCACACACCAGCCUUGGCAUAUGCAAUGUAUUUCUAAUUAAAACAUUUGCUAUUUUAUUUUAAACAAGUUGCAAACGGCACUUGGGGAGAAGAUAUUUGGCAGAGCACGAUAAACAGAACUCAGGUGCAGAAUAUACAAAAACCACUGAGAAAUCACUGAUGUGACUAUCGUCAGAGAGAAGGGGACAGGGGCUCAUGCCUGUCACUCAGAAGCCUCAGAAGGCUGAGGAGCAAGGGAUAGGAGUGUGGGGCCGUCCUGGUCUGCAGAGUUAGUGUAAAGCCAGCCUGGUCUGGUUUCUAUGAAACUGUCUCUAAAAGCUAUGGAUGACCCAGAGCAAAGGGCACUCCCACACACUGAUGUCCAGAGGCUGAUGUAGCCAUGGUUUCUUUUUGUUGUGGAUUUCUGUCACUCCACAGAAAGCCUGGUUCUCAGAGGCAGUGACCACUGUGGUAGUCUGAAUAUAACUGGCCCCCAUAAUCUCAUAGAGAGUGACAGUAUUCAGAGCUGUGGCUUUGUUGGAGUAGGUGCGGCCUUGUUGGAGGAAGUGUGUUACUGUGGGGGUGAGUUUUGAGGUCUCAUAUAUGCUCAAGCCAUACCCAGUGUCUUAGACCAUUUCCUGUUGCCCGAAUAUCAAGACACUCCCAUGCUCCCUGACCGAUAAUGGACUUAGCCUCUGAAAUGUACGUGGGCCAUCCCAAUGAAAUGUUUUCCCUUAUAAGAGUUGCCGUGGUCAUGGUGUCUCUUCAGAGCAAUAGGAACCCUAACUAAGACACUCCCCAAACCUACAAUACUCUGAAAAUGAGAAAACUCCCUUCUGUCCCUGGAAAGGAUCCAGGUAGAAGGCACCAACACUACAAGACUCAAAUGGCACCUUCCAGUCAGGUAUGUGGGAAGAAGGCCCAGGCUGCAGGUGACAGGAAGAGGGGAACCAGGGGGUGUGGCUCAGCUGUCAAUGAGCAGUUAUUAUUUCAAUCUUUAAAAAUCUUGCUGGCCAGGCGGUGGUGGCACAUGCCUUUAAUCCCAGCACUCGGGAGACAGAGGCAGGUGGACCUCUGUGAGUUUGAGGUCUACAGAGUGAGUUCCAGGACAGGCUCCAAAGCGACAGAGAAACCCUGUCAACAAAACAACACAACACAGAAAGCUGGCAAAGGAGAUGGCUCAGGGUUAAGAGCACUGGCUGAUCUGGCUUCAGUUCCCCACAGGACCAAAGGAAAAGUAAAAUUCAAGAACAACAAAAAUUGACCAGGCAGUUGGUGGCACACGCCUUUAAUCCCAGCACUCAGGAGGCAGAGGCAGGCGGAUCUCUGUGAGUUUGAGGCCAGCCUGGUCUACAGAGCGAGUGCCAGGACAACCUCCAAAGCCACAGAGAAACCCUGUCUUGUAACAAACAAACAAAC